rnacentral:rRNA from 1 species
GAUGAACGCUGGCGGCGUGCCUAAUACAUGCAAGUCGAGCGAACGGACGAGAAGCUUGCUUCUCUUAUGUUAGCGGCGGACGGGUGAGUAACACGUGGAUAACCUACCUAUAAGACUGGGAUAACUUCGGGAAACCGGAGCUAAUACCGGAUGAUAUUUUGAACCGCAUGGUUCAAAAGUGAAAGACUGUCUUGCUGUCACUUAUAGAUUGAUCCGCGCUGCAUUAGCUAGUUGGUAAGGUAACGGCUUACCAAGGGAACGAUGCAUAGCCGAACUGAUAGGGUGGUAGGCCACACUGGAACUGAGACACGGUCCAGACUCCUACGGGAGGCAGCAGUAGGGAAUCUUCCGCAAUGGGCGAAAGCCUGACGGAGCAACGCCGAGUGAGUGAUGAAGGUCUUCGGAUCGUAAAACUCUGUUAUUAGGGAAGAACAUAUGUGUAAGUAACUGUGCACAUCUUGACGGUACCUAAUCAGAAAGCCACGGCUAACUACGUG